rnacentral:rRNA from 1 species
AUGGGCUUCGCCAAACGUCCUAAUAAGGUCGACGGCCCGCCAAGCCGGACCAGCAGCGUGGCCUCCUCCGGCACCAGCGCCAGCGCCCGAACGUCCUCCAUCUCCAGCGAUGACGGGAACGGUGGACGGCCAGGCCAGUCCCCGGCGCGCGGCGCCCCGGGCCACACGCUGGAGGCGCCGUCGCGGAAGAACCGGCCCGCACGUAGCCCCUCCCGGCCGGCGCUGCUGUUCCAGAAGCUUCGCCGCGCGCUCCCCAUCCUGGCGCCCCGGUGCGGGAGGACGCCGGCGGGGUCGGCGCGCGAGGUCGCGGCGUCGACCUCCUCGGGCGCCGCCGACUCGCACCUCAUGUCGCGGCACGUCGCGUCGGGCGGCGGGAGGCGGCCGUGCCGGCGUGUGACGGGCACGCUGUUCGGCCGCCGCAAGGGCCGCGUCGCGCUGGCGCUGCAGGAGACGCCCCGGAGCCUGCCGAGCCUGGUGGUGGAGCUGGCGCUGCAGACGCACGCGCUGCUCCGCGAGCUCGGCAACCCCGCCGGCGCGCGCAUCGUGCUGGAGACCGAGCGCCGCCGCGGCGGCACUGGCGAGGGGCCUAAGCGCGCGCCGCCGCUGCUGGACGAGGUGGCGUGGACCAUGUUCUGCAACGGGAGGAAGACCGGGUACGCGGUGCGGCGGGAGGCGACGGACUACGACCUGACGGUGAUGGAGACGCUGCGGGCAGUGUCCAUGGGCGCCGGCGUGCUCCCGGUCCCAGCUGGAGCUGGAGCUGGAGGUGGGGUCUCGGGGUCGGCGCCGGACGACGAGGUGGCGUACAUGCGCGGCUGCUUCGAGCACUUGGUGGGGUCGUGGGACUCGGAGUCGCUCUACAUGGUGACGCCCCAGGGCGGCGGCACCGGCCCGGAGCUCGCCGUGUUCUUCGUCAGGCUCUGA